rnacentral:sRNA from 1 species
CCGUCCCAUUUUUUCCCUAAUCCCUUGAAUCCUUUUCAUCAUCCUGAUGAAUCGCGUCCUGCGAUGUCCUUCCUUCCCAUCGUCCUUGACGGGUGUGUCUGUCCGUCAACAC